UCUAUACCUAUUAUCCAUAGGUUUGGUCUUUUUACAGUGUCCCAUAUUUCCUGGAUAUUUUGUUUUAAGGAUUUGUUGGACUUAAGAUUUUCUUUGCUUGAUGAAUUUAUUUCCUGUAGUUUAUCUUCAUCAUCUGAGAGUCUGUCAUCCAUCUCUUGUAUUCUGUCGGUUAUGCUUGUAUCUGUGGUUCCUGAUUGUUUACUCAGCUUUUCCACUUCCAGAAUUCCCUCAGUUUGUGUUUUCUUUAUUGUCUCUAUUUCAGUUUUCAUGUGCUGAACAGUUCCCUUCUGCUGUUUAAAUGUAUUUUCUUUGCUUUCUUGAUUUCUUGCAUCUUUUGGUUCAUCUUUUCUUCCAUUUCUCUGAAGGAUUUUCUGAUUUCCUCUCUUAGAGUCUCUGUCAUCUGCAUGAAGUUGUUUUUAAGGUUGCUCUCUUUUCCUUUUCUGUGUUGUGAUGUUCAUGUCUUCCUGGUGUAGAGUUUCUAGACUCUGGUAUUGUCAUAUUGGUUUUCCUGUUGUUGGAUGUGUUCUUAUAUUGUUGUCUUCCCAUCUCUUCUUCCAGUGGUUACAGGUGGUGUCACUUUCUUUCCUGUUGUGUAUGGGUCUGGGCUUUUCUUCAGGUUGGUACAAUUGGGUGUGAUACUGCAAAUUGUCUCAAGGUGGUGCAAGCUGGUGAGAGGCACUCGGUUUCCAGGCGGCUCUCUCUGUUCCAUGGUUUGCCUGGAUUAG
rnacentral:lncRNA from 1 species